rnacentral:rRNA from 1 species
UUGGGAAUAUUGGACAAUGGGCGCAAGCCUGAUCCAGCCAUGCCGCGUGAGUGAUGAAGGCCUUCGGGUUGUAAAGCUCUUUUAGUGAAGAUUAUAAUGACUGUAUUCACAGAAAAAGCCCCGGCUAACUUCGUGCCAGCAGCCGCGGUAAUACGAAGGGGGCAAGCAUUGUUCGGAUUAACUGGGCGUAAAGCGUCCGCAGGUGGCUUUGCAAGUCAGAAGUGAAAGCCCAGGGCUCAACCCUGGAAUU